rnacentral:ncRNA from 1 species
AUAAUUCUGCCACCGGGUAGAGAUGCGUAAAGCACCGUGGUACAUCGUUAGGUCUUUGUAGAUGUACUCACGGUGCUUUUUCGGUG